GAAGUCCUGAGACUUUGAGUUCCCCCUUCUAGGGUCUUCAGAUUAGUAGAUCCCCUAAGACAGGCAGCAGUCCCACUGACAAGCGGCCAGACUUCCACACAAGGGCUCGCUAGAGGACUGUGGGAAGAAAUUAGCAGGGAUCUCCUUUGUCUUCCCCUGCCUGACUCUACUUUGCCCUGCCUGGCCUCACCUUUCGGAAGGACAGCUCCACAUCCAGGUCUCCCUUGAAGGUAUACUGGGCUACAGCAUCUCCAUACUCCAGCACCUGGUAUGUGGGCGGCUUGAUGGGCUUGGGAAUCUCAUCUGCAGGCAGAACCUGAAGGGAAGGUGUGAGAAAAGUUCAGACCAGACAGCAACUGGAUACACACCUAUACUCCCGAAGAGAGAGCCAUACGGAAGCAACAUGGGCAAGGCUGGCCCAGGUCAGACGUCACUUCCACACACUCCAGAUACAGCCUAGCCAGUGGCAGUGUGAGUACAGGCAGGCACUAUGAGAUGGUCAUCCAAAGGGUUCCUGGAGGAAGACUUUCCAGUGGAGUGAUGUGCAAUAGCACAGGCAGAGCAGGAGGGUGAAGGCCGAGAUAGAAGCCAGUCCAACUACAGAGCUACAGAUAUGGGUCACAGAUACAAAUGAAGGCGAUACAGAAUGGUGGCUUGAAUAAGAAUGGUCCCCAUAGGAUCGUAUAUUUGAAUGCUUAGUCAGUGGGGAGUAGCACUGUUUGAAGGAUUAGAAGGAUUAGAAAGUGUGGCCUGGGGCUGGGGAUUUAGCUCAGUGGUAGAGCGCUUACCUAGGAAGCGCAAGGCCCUGGGUUCGGUCCCCAGCUCCGAAAAAAAGAACCAAAAAAAAAAAAAAAAAGAAAGUGUGGCCUUGUUGGAGGAAGUGAGUCUCCAGGGGUGGGCUUUGAGGUUUUAAAAGCUCAGCCAGGUCUAGUGAUUCAUAUUCAUUCUCUCUCUCUCUCUCUCUCUCUCUCUCUCUCUCUCUCUCUCUUUCUCUCUCUCUCUCUCAUUCUCUCUCUCACUUUCUCUCCCUCCCUCUCUCCCUCCCUCCCUCCCUCUCUUCCCCUCCCCUUCUUUCCCCUUCCCUCCCCACCUCUCUGCCUUUAGAUCAGGAUGUAGCUCUCAGCUACUACUCCAUCACCAGGCCACCGUGCUCCCGGCCAUCAUGAUAAUGAACUAAGACUCUGACAUUGUAAAUAAGACUCCAUAAAAGUCGCCUUGGUCAUGAUCUCUUCAAAGCAAUAGAAGAGUGACUAAGGCAUACAGUCUAGAGGUCUUGGUUAGGUUUGUUUUGUCUGCUAGUUUAAGAACUAAAAGGCAGGAAAAAUCUUGAGCACAGCAGGCAGCAGCAGAGAAAGAUCAAGCACCUCAGACAGGAGCAAACAGAAUUAGCCGUUGGAGAAAGGUGUUCUUGGGGCUGAAGAAACACACAUAUGCAGCAAACACACAGAGAUGAAGACCCUCUCUGCACAGGAAGCUGAAGAGUCUGAGGGCUGGGGUAGUUUAGCAUCUGAAGGGUCUUUCUCUCCUGAUUUAGGGUUGGUCAGUUUGAAAAAGCUAGGACGUCUGAUUGGCCUACAACUGUUGUGUAACAUGUCCUCCUGGCCUUGGCCUUACCAGUCUAUUAGCAGGGACUGCUAGGGGGGGGGACAAGGGCUUACAGCGCCUGUGUGUGAAGUUGUCAGGCUUUUGUCUCAAGUCAGGAGGGUAAGGAAGAAGCCCACCAUCUUGGAAAUUCACCAUUUCUGUUACCUAGCCAUGGCCCUUCUCCCUCUCCCUAGUAGGGAGUCAGUCUAACUCCUGAUGUCUCAAGGGUUCUGCAGAGGAACUUGUUCUGAAGCAUAUAUAUAUAUGCUGUUUCUGGAACUUACUAAGUAACAUAGGCUGGCCUUGAACUCACAGAAAUCCACCUGGCUCUGCCUCCUAAGUGCUGGGAUUAAAGUCAUGUGCCAGUAGGUCUGGAUCAAUUUAUUCUAUCUUUUAUCACUCUUGAGGGCCAAGUGGCCCUUGGUUUAAGUGUCCUGGUCCCUCCUGCCCUUUGGUCCCACCAGGGCUCUGAAUCCCCAUGCUUUCUUGGUUAACCCUAUUCAUAAAAAUCAAUAAGCUGGGGUUGGGGAUUUAGCUCAGUGGUAGAGCGCUUACCUAGGAAGCGCAAGGCCCUGGGUUCGGGGCCCCAGCUCCGAAAAAAAGAACCAAAAAAAAAAAAAAAAUCAAUAAGCUAAUGGACCAUUUCACGCUAAGCUGUAGAUGACUGCUGGACUACAUGACUGUAUGUACUCAGUAAAACUCCAGAAAACAGAUGAAUGUAUGGAUGGACAGAAUCUGUAAUAACUAUUAAACCAAGAGCCUGAAUUAUGACAGCCUACCCAGUUAUCAAAGGGACAUCAUGAAAAUAAUGAGAAAACAGUUUAUGUUAACUAACAGAAACAGUAAGAAUAGUAAUCAUCAUAACAUCAUCAUCACAAUUUGCUCAGUCCUGGUGGCACAUGCCUUUGAUGGCAAGCACUUGGGAGGCAGAGGCAGGCAGAUCUCUGUGAAUCCAAGACCAGCCUGGUCUAUGGAGUGAGCUCUACACCAUCCAAGGCUACAUAAGAUCCCAUCUCAAAACAAAACCAAAACAAGAAAAUCAAUUAUUUUUUAUUUUAUUUAUUUAUUUUUAUUUGUGGGAUGCAGCUAAACAUCUUAAACAGUGUUAAGAGGGAAACUUACAGUAUCAAAUGCUAUUAUUAUAGAUCACCUAAACUACCAUGAGGCGGGAGGAUCGCCAUAAAAUUGAGGCCAGCCUGGGCUACAUAGUGAUUCUAGGCCAGCCUGGGCUGCUGUGCCACUCUUAUCAAAGGUAAAAAGAAAAAGAAAAAAGAAAAAGGAAAAAAGAAAGGCUAAACUUUCACUCUUGAGGUCAAUCAUUACGCCAUAAACAUCAGGAAAUGGCAACAUCAGGGAGGAGGCUCACUGAGGGGUAGAAACCUGAUGACCUGAGUUUAGACCCCACAACCCACAGAAAAGCCAGAAGCAGAGCAGUAGCAAAUAGGAAAGCCCGCCUUAAGGUGGACGACAGGAACUGACACCCCAGAAUUGUGUUCUGGCCUCCAGAUGUGCACCAUAGCAGGUUUGCACCCACACAUACAAGACUACAUAUACUUUUAAUAAUUUAUUUAAUCUUUUGUUGUAUGUGCUUUGGUAGUUUUGCCUGCAUUAUGUCUGUGUGAGGGUGUCAGGUGGCCUGGAUCUGGAGUUACAGACAGUUGUGAGCUGCCAAUGACCUGUGACCCUGAACCUGGGUCCCCUGGAAGAGCAGCCAAUGCUCUUAACCACUGAACCAUCUCUCCAACCCCAAGAAUAAA